UACGUAGGGUGCAGGCGUUAAUCGGAAUUACUGGGCGUAAAGCGUGCGCAGGCGGUCUUUUAAGUCAGAUGUGAAAUCCCCGGGCUUAACCUGGGAACUGCGUUUGAAACUGGAAGGCUUGAGUGUGGCAGAGGGGGGUGGAAUUCCACGUGUAGCAGUGAAAUGCGUAGAGAUCAGGAGGAACACCCGUGGCGAAGGCGGCUCUCUGGGUCCGCCCUGACGCUGAGGCGCGAAAGCGUGGGGAGCGAACGGG
rnacentral:rRNA from 1 species